GAUGAACGCUGGCGGCGUGCCUAAUACAUGCAAGUCGAGCGAACGGACGAGAAGCUUGCUUCUCUGAUGUUAGCGGCGGACGGGUGAGUAACACGUGGAUAACCUACCUAUAAGACUGGGAUAACUUCGGGAAACCGGAGCUAAUACCGGAUAAUAUUUUGAACCGCAUGGUUCAAAAGUGAAAGACGGUCUUGCUGUCACUUAUAGAUGGAUCCGCGCUGCAUUAGCUAGUUGGUAAGGUAACGGCUUACCAAGGCAACGAUGCAUAGCCGACCUGAGAGGGUGAUCGGCCACACUGGAACUGAGACACGGUCCAGACUCCUCCGGGAGGCAGCAGUAGGGAAUCUUCCGCAAUGGGCGAAAGCCUGACGGAGCAACGCCGCGUGAGUGAUGAAGGUCUUCGGAUCGUAAAACUCUGUUAUUAGGGAAGAACAUAUGUGUAAGUAACUGUGCACAUCUUGACGGUACCUAAUCAGAAAGCCACGGCUAACUACGUG
rnacentral:rRNA from 1 species